rnacentral:lncRNA from 1 species
ACUAGCGCGGCGGCCGCCGGCCCGCAAUGGUGCUACCCUGGUUGCUGCUCGAGACUGCGCGCAGGGCGGUCCUCGGGUCCGCGGAGGCUGCGCUCUGCGGUGAGCUUGGUGGUCCCUGGGGAAAGGGAGAGCGCCUAACCUUAGACUUCAGGCAAGGGUUAACAUUGGUGGGGGUGCUCGCUUCUUUAGACUUCCAGUUAAAAGUCAGACCCAUCACUCUUGGCACCUGGGGAUGUAACACCCACCUGGGGAAGAUUUCGGGCUACCCGAACCUGUGGGCGCUCUGGGGACGCAGGGACAGAGCCAUGAAAAUGACAGAUGAAAAUAGAAAAGUGUGGCUGGUCUGAAGUGGAUGAAGUAGGUGAAGCUCUACAGAUGAAUCCAAGAGACUUCAAAGAGAAGUACAAUGAAGUAAAACCAUCCAAAUCUGACAGCUAGUGUUUUCUUAUUUAGCCGGAGUGAGAAGCAAGAAGGCCCUGGACACAGCAAUAUCUCUGGGCUUUCACAGUUCUGGAGGUCAGAAGUCCUAAAUGUCAUCCUUUCCUUUCACUGGUGUGCCACAGCAAGAUGGUGGUGCAGUUUUUCAAGAAGAGGAAGUUUGUCAUUGAUGGUAUCUUCAAAGCUGAACUGAAUGAAGUUCUCAUUCAGGAGCUGGCUGAAGAUAGCUACUCUGGAGUUGAGGUCUGAGUUACACCAGCUAGGACAGAAAUCUUUACCUUAGCCACCAGAACACAGAAUGUUCUUGGUGAGAAGGGCUGGCAUAUUUGGGAAUUGACUGCUGUAGUUCAGAAGAGGUUUGGCUUUUCAGAGGGUAAAGUAGAGCUUUAUGCUGAAAAGGUGUCUACAAGAGAUAUGUGCCAUUGUCCAGGCAGAGUCUCUGUGUUACAAACCCCUAGGAGGGCUUGCUGUGCAGAAGGCCUGCUAUGGUGUGCUGCGGUUCAUCAUGGAGUGUGGGACUAAAGGCUUCAAGGUCAUUGUGUCCAGGAAACUCUGAGGACAGAGGGCUAAAUCCAUGAAGUUUGUGAAUGGCCUGAUGAUCCACAGCUGGGACCCUGUUAAUACUAUGUUGACACCGCUGUGCACCAUGUGCUGCUCCAACAGGCUGUGCUGGGCAUCAAGGUGAAGGUCAUGCUUCCCUGGGAACCAGCUGGUAAGAUUAGCCCUAGGAAGUCCCUGCCCGACCAGGGGCAGGGGACCCAUCUUUGGGUUCGUGGAACCCAAAGAUGAGAUACUCUCCACCACUCCCAUCUCAGAAGAGAAGGGUAGGAAGCCAGAGCCACCUGCCAUGUCCCAGCCAGUCCCCACAGCAUAACAGGGUCUACUUAGCAGCUGUGUCUGGAGUCUGGAUGUUGUUCUGUAAAGAACUUUAAUAAAAUCUUGUACAAAGAAAAAAGUCCUAAAG